rnacentral:rRNA from 1 species
GACGAACCGUGCGAACGUUGUUCGGAAUCACUGGGCUUAAAGGGCGCGUAGGCGGGCUGCCAAGUCCGUGGUGAAAUCCCCCGGCUCAACCGGGGAAUGGCCUCGGAUACUGGCGGUCUCGAGGGAGGUAGGGGCGUGCGGAACUGUAGGUGGAGCGGUGAAAUGCGUUGAUAUCUACAGGAACUCCGGUGGCGAAGGCGGCACGCUGGACCUCUUCUGACGCUGAGGCGCGAAAGCCAGGGGAGCGAAC